CCUGCAAGAACACAUUCAGCACUCACACUUGUCAACUAAUCUUAGGUCUGUCAGGAGUUAUUAAUAUUGAUUUUGAGUAUGUAUCUAACACACAUUUACCUGAUGUAAAACAUUGAAUUAGCAAUGUGAUCGCUGACAGAUACCUGGUAUGACUGACAUGUCACCGCAGAGUGACUACGGGAUGUGAAAUGAGCAUGCCAUCGUUGAAUGUAAAUACAGGGUGUCGUCCUCCCUCCCCCCCAAAAAAUUUCAACAUUUCAAAAGCAAUUAUCUUCAAAACUAUUAAGUCGAGUUCAGUGAAAUUGAACAGUUCAGGUGUUGAACAUCCUAAGUGAUUCUCUGCCUGAGUUUGUCAAUGCGAGUAAGAAGAGGGGGGACAUAAAUAUAAAUUCUUAAUCUGUUUCUAAAAAAAAAAAAAAAAAGUGGGCGAACUCAAAAAUUUAAGGCAACAAACAGAUAGAAUUUUCAGCUGUGCAAUUGAGCUACGUAGUUUGAGUUGCUGUUGAGAAACGUGGCUUUCCAGCAUUUCACAAUAAAUAAGUGUUGACAGAACCACUGUCACUUGUAUUGAUCCCCAACUUAAAUAUUAGUAUGAACACAAGAUCUAAUUAAAAGCAACUCAGCAAAUUGUUUUGGAGCAAACAACGUGCUCACUGUUUUAGCCCCCCCCCCCCAACCCGCAAAAUACAACUUGUCUUUUUUACAGUGUACAUCCUGUAAAAAAAUGUAAUUAUUUCAAUCACAUUUGCCCAAAUUAUCGGCUUGCGAAAGCUUUAUUUGGGGCUGUCCUGUCUUAUCUCACUGGAUUGGCCCGGAUCAAUUACCUGCCACGUUAACACUUUGUUCCUGUGCUCUUCUGCCCCAUCGAGAAAAAGGUCCACUGCUAGCGCCUGUGCCACCAACAGCCUCCUCGCCUCCAGAGAUAACUCAGACUGCAGAGUGAUACAUGGCACCUCUGACUGCUCCUCAUCUCUCUGCUGAGACUUCCUCUCGCUUUCUGCCAACUCUUCUCUCUGCUCAGCCUUCAAUCUGGAGAGCAUACUACCUUUUUGGAGUGGGCCAUUGUGUCCAACCGAUCCACUGCGUUGGAUGGGCAUCUGUCUGACUUUCUUCAACAAAAUGGAACCGUCCCUUUCAUGAUUCUUGACUUGCCAGAGAGAUCCUGUGGAGCUUUGGGAGAUGUCAGAUGUGUUACUAUUCCAACUCUUCCACUGCGUUACCGGUUGAGCAGUUUCGGAUGGAGAAAUUGGCCUGGCCACGUUGCCCUGUGAGAGGGAGCCCAAGGGUUGUGUCAGGAGGUUGAGCUGCGACCCCAGACGUCUUAGAUCAGACUCACUGUAACUAAGACUCUUGCGAUGGUAGAA